rnacentral:rRNA from 1 species
UACAGAGGGUGCGAGCGUUAAUCGGAAUUACUGGGCGUAAAGCGAGCGUAGGUGGCUUGAUAAGUCAGAUGUGAAAGCCCCGGUCUUAACCUGGGAACGGCAUCUGAAACUGUCAGGCUAGAGUAGGUGAGAGGAAGGUAGAAUUCCAGGUGUAGCGGUGAAAUGCGUAGAGAUCUGGAGGAAUACCGAUGGCGAAGGCAGCCUUCUGGCAUCAUACUGACACUGAGGGACGAAAGCUAGGGGAGCGAAUGGG